rnacentral:rRNA from 1 species
AAUCUGGGGCCCCCGGCCUCCGAGUUGUAAUUUGGAGAGGCUCAUUCGGGGGGGAGCGCUGGCCCAUGUUCCUUGGAACAGGACGUCGCAGAGGGUGAGAAUCCCGUGCCAGGCCGGCUGCCUCCUCCCGCGUGAAGGGCCUUCGACGAGUCGAGUUGUUUGGGAAUGCAGCUCCAAGUGGGUGGUAAAUUUCAUCUAAAGCUAAAUACCGGCGGGAGACCGAUAGCGCACAAGUAGAGUGAUCGAAAGAUGAAAAGCACUUUGAAAAUAGAGUCAAAAAGUACGUGAAAUUGUUGAAAGGGAAGCGCUUGAGACCAGACUCAGACCCAGGCAAACACCGCGCCCCCAGGGGCCGUGCAAUUGCCCGGUGCUGGGCCAGCAUCAGUUGGCGUGGCGGGACAAGGGCGCGGGAAAUGUGGCUCCCCUCGGGGAGUGUUAUCAGGCCCGCGCCGGAUGCCGCCGACGCCGACUGAGGACCGCGCCUCGGCUAGGAUGCUGGCUUAAUGGCCUUCAGCGACCCGUCUUGAAACACGGA